ACUGCAGUCGAUAAGCAGCGCCGCAGCUCAUCAGCAAGGAAAUGAUACGCGUCCUUUUAUCUUGGUCAGUGAUGAUGAGAAUCACAGCUCCAUGCUUCACUAAUCUUUCAGUACACAUGUAGCCUGUUUGUUUGUACAUUUGCUACUUUUGUUUCUUCAGCUCCAUGCUUCAGUCUGUAAUCGAAAACCGUCGCAUCACAUGCACUCUUCAUGGUUCAGUCACAACAAUAGUAAAAAUGGAAAAUCUGAUAGUAUGAGACGCUCUGAAAUGGGCUCCGAGCAGGAGCAGCGUGUUGCUACCAGCCACACGUAAAAUGGGCUGUCAACAGUGCGGCCCACUUAAUAAAGGGGAUCUACACGUGACUGAAGGCAGCAAACUGUGGGAAGCUUACAGAGAAUAUGAGAUGGCUAUGUUGACCGUGAGUGAUGGACUGAUGAAGAGAAGGCAAAGCAGUUGGGAAGCUGAAGAAGGCAAUACAAAUCACCCGGAUUCCCAGUUUGGUGAUGUUCUCCCAAACGUUUUACCUGCUUACAAAAAGGCUAGCGAGAUGUUACAAUGCACGGAAGCAGUACGAGGAUCAACGAAGCUACACGACUGAAUCCUAGGCUAACAAACUAUAAGUGUCCUGGCAUGACGAAGUUUUUCUUUAUCAAAUCCUGGUUUGCGGUAAACUCAAUGUUGGUUGUUUGUUGGUGAUGAAACAGAAAUACAUCAUAUAUUUAGGGAGCCUUGUGGUGACCCUGCUUGUAUCCAAGUUUUGUAUGAACGGGCCAUUUCAGAGCUUCCCGUUUCAAGUUAUCUAUGGAUGGGAUACACUAAUUACCAGGACAGAAACCUGAAGAUACCGGCCACUAUACAGAGCGCCAUUACUCACUGUCUUUGGAGCGCAUUCGUGUGUCUGAACACGAACUGUGACAUGGGAUAUAUUCCCAUGCAAUGAGCAGGCCCAGUAGCAUCUGCAGGUAGGAGAACAUAAAUUGCGACUCAGGUUUGCACCCCAGUUCCUGUGAACCACAAGAGCAAGGAUGCUGAGAACUUUGUCAAGAAGCAUGUCUGGAGUGACUGUAUGCAGGCGGACAUGAUGAAAAGGAACAUGCUGAAGCGUCGUCAUUAUAACAUUGGUGAAGUUCUUGACUGCCUUCUUUGUGGACAACAUAUUGAAGAAACUGUGGACCACAUGAUCUUCGCCUGCCCCUUCAGUAUAGUUUGUUGGGAGAAGAUUGACAUUGCCUGGCCGGAGUUUGACUCCAGACUUGAUCUGAUCGCACAAACCAAUGAGUCUGAGCAUAGACCUCUCUUCAUGGAAAAUUUUCUCACGGCAGCGUGGAGUUUGUGGAAAGAACGCAAUAACAAACACUUCAGAGGGGUCAACCCUAGUACCGAUUCCUGGUUGACACGUUUCAAGGGAGAUUUUGGCCUCCUACAGGGUGAAGGAGGCGCAAAGGUCUUUUGUAACUACUUUUUGUAACUCACUAGCCUAACUCCCCUCGAACUUUGUAAAAGUAACCACUUAGUGUUCCUCCACAACACCCCCCCCCCCCAGGGGUGGGGGUAUGGCAGAACAUUCAUGUAACACUUCUGUAAUUCACAUGUAAUCUUUACAAAAGGGAGAAAUAUAUACAAAACAGUAGGAGCCUCUCCUACUGUCUUUUCUUCAAAAAAAAAAAGAAUUUGACUUUUUCUUCAGUGUCAAAAUUUUGCAUUUGUUAAUGACUCUUCUGUGCACAUCAACUCUACUCCCCUCCUUACAGCCAAUAAAAUCAUUGCCCAUGCCCUAAUG